AACGAACGCUGGCGGCAUGCCUAACACAUGCGAGUCGAACGAGACCUUCGGGUCUAGUGGCGCAUGGGUGUGUAACGCGUGGGAAUCUGCCCUUGGGUUCGGAAUAACAGUGAGAAAUUACUGCUAAUACCGGAUGAUGUCUUCGGACCAAAGAUUUAUCGCCCAGGGAUGAGCCCGCGUAGGAUUAGAUAGUUGGUGGGGUAAUGGCCUACCAAGGCGACGAUCCUUAGCUGGUCUGAGAGGAUGAUCAGCCACACUGGGACUGAGACACGGCCCAGACUCCUACGGGAGGGAGCAGUGGGGAAUAUUGGACAGUGGGCGCAAGCCUGAUGCAGCAAUGCCGCGUGAGUGAUGAAGGCCUUAGAGUUGUAAAGCUCUUUUACCCGGGAUGAUAAUGACGGUACCGGGAGAAUAAGCUCCGGCUAACUCCGUG
rnacentral:rRNA from 1 species